rnacentral:lncRNA from 1 species
GAGAACAAAGGAAGGAGGAAGUAACUGGUGGAAUGCUGAGAAAGCAUUUCAGUGUGCGGCAUCAUCAUGCAAGCUCUGUAAGAGGAGAGUAAGAUCAGUACUCCUACUUGUAAAUGAAAGAGAAGAAAACAAAAACAAGCAAAUUCCUUCUAAGGUGUGAGGAACACGAGUAAACAGAGAAAUCACCUAAGGAGAAAACAGGAAGCAGAUUUGAAACUGUGGCCACCAACGACACGAGGGAGCGCAAAACCCAGCCCACUUGCCAGGGAGGCUGGCAGAGCCCACACCCAGUCUGGUGCCCUGGUCGGUUACAUUCUGCUCUCCCUGCAGCAUUUUUAGAAGGUACCAAAUAAGAAAAACGUGGAUGAAGAUGGAGAAAGCAUACAAAACUUUUACACACUGGUUUGAAGCUGUCACCGCGCGGAACAUAAAGAACAGGCCAAGACCAGUGCAGGCAUCGACGACUUUCUCCAUUCAGAGCCUCCGCGC